AGCGAACGCUGGCGGCAGGCUUAACACAUGCAAGUCGAACGGGCACCUUCGGGUGUAAGUGGCAGACGGGUGAGUAACACGUGGGAACGUACCCUUCGGUUCGGAAUAACACAGGGAAACUUGUGCUAAUACCGGAUACGCCCUUGGCCUCUGGCCGUGGGGAAAGGUUUACUGCCGGAGGAUCGGCCCGCGUCUAAUUAGCUAGUUGGUGAGGUAACGGCUCACCAAGGCGACGAUCAGUAGCUGGUCUGAGAGGAUGAUCAGCCACACUGGGACUGAGACACGGCCCAGACUCCUACGGGAGGCAGCAGUGGGGAAUAUUGGACAAUGGGCGCAAGCCUGAUCCAGCCAUGCCGCGUGAGUGAUGAAGGCCUUAGGGUUGUAAAGCUCUUUUGUCCGGGACGAUAAUGACGGUACCGGAAGAAUAAGCCCCGGCUAACUUCGUGC
rnacentral:rRNA from 1 species